GAUGAACGCUGGCGGCGUGCCUAAUACAUGCAAGUCGAGCGAACAGACGAGGAGCUUGCUCCUCUGACGUUAGCGGCGGACGGGUGAGUAACACGUGGAUAACCUACCUAUAAGACUGGGAUAACUUCGGGAAACCGGAGCUAAUACCGGAUAAUAUAUUGAACCGCAUGGUUCAAUAGUGAAAGACGGUUUUGCUGUCACUUAUAGAUGGAUCCGCGCCGCAUUAGCUAGUUGGUAAGGAAACGGCUUACCAAGGCAACGAGGCGUAGCCGACCUGAGAGGGUGAUCGGCCACACUGGAACUGAGACACGGUCCAGACUCCUACGGGAGGCAGCAGUAGGGAAUCUUCCGCAAUGGGCGAAAGCCUGACGGAGCAACGCCGCGUGAGUGAUGAAGGUCUUCGGAUCGUAAAACUCUGUUAUUAGGGAAGAACAAAUGUGUAAGUAACUAUGCACGUCUUGACGGUACCUAAUCAGAAAGCCACGGCUAACUACGUG
rnacentral:rRNA from 1 species